rnacentral:rRNA from 1 species
AUGUCUUCCUCCUCCUCCUCCGGUGCUUCCCAGACCACCCUCAAUGGACAGGUCACCGAGAAGCUAACACGCACGAACUACGUGCUCUGGCGCACGCAGGUCACCCCUCACCUGCGUGGCGCCGGUGUCUUCGGCUACGUCGACAGCACCACACCGGAGCCGGUCAGGCUUCAUGUCACCAAGGACAAGGAUGGCAAAGAAAGCGCUGAGCCCAACCCUCUCCACCCCAUCUGGGUUCGGGAGGAUCAACAGGUGCUGGGUUACUUACUCAGCACCCUCUCCAAGGAGGUUCUCAUCGCGGUGACCACGGUCACCACGGCGCACGCGCUCUGGACAGCGGUG